AGGGCCAAUGUAAUAAACAUUCGAAAGAUAACAAGCAGAAGAACAACAAAUCAAACUUAAUUCAUAAUAUAACUGUGAUUAUUAAUUUGAAUGAUAUGCCGACUACAACAUAUUCUUAUAGACCGAAAUUUGAGAGUGUGGAGUUAUGGAGUAACAUAGGAGGCUACAUAGGAAUAUGGCUUGGAAUAUCUUUAAUCGCUUUGUGCGAUUUUUUCGAUACAGUGAUUGGUAUCCUUCUUCAUCUUUGUCAGAAGCUUCAUGUCAGAGCUAAAACAUUUCUAUUACGAAUUUUUAAACGUUAAAUUCUCAUCGUAUAAAUAAUUACAAACUGAAUAAUCUAUACUGUAUAAAAAAAAUAUAUAUAUUAAAUGAAUGCUUGAAUAGCUUUUG